CCUACGGGAGGCAGCAGUGGGGAAUUUUGGACAAUGGGCGCAAGCCUGAUCCAGCCAUGCCGCGUGCGGGAAGAAGGCCUUCGGGUUGUAAACCGCUUUUGUCAGGGAAGAAACGCUUUGGGAUAAUACCCUGAGGUAAUGACGGUACCUGAAGAAUAAGCACCGGCUAACUACGUGCCAGCAGCCGCGGUAAUGCGUAGGGUGCAAGCGUUAAUCGGAAUUACUGGGCGUAAAGCGUGCGCAGGCGGUUCUAUAAGACAGAUGUGAAAUCCCCGGGCUCAACCUGGGAACUGCAUUUGUGACUGUAGAGCUUGAGUGCGGCAGAGGGGGAUGGAAUUCCGCGUGUAGCAGUGAAAUGCGUAGAUAUGCGGAGGAACACCGAUGGCGAAGGCAAUCCCCUGGGCCUGCACUCGACGCUCAUGCACGAACGACGGUGGGAGGACGAACGAGGAGUAGUACUACCGUACGGUACGUACCGACCGACCCGUAACCGUAC
rnacentral:rRNA from 1 species